ACAGGUAUGCUGAAAAAAGGCAUUCUUCAAAUCAAUUACAGAGAAGAACGCAGCAUCUGCAGGGAUUGCAGAAAUGAGCGCUCCCACAAACCUCAAUCCGGCCCUCGCCCAACGUCAAGCCAUCGUACAUAUUUAGUAGGAUUUGGAACGCCACCUGCGAGCCAGCAGGGAAAGCCUUACUAGGGGAACGGAGGCAGUUAUAGCAAAUGAGGGACCAACUUCAAUCAACACCUAUGGGGUGUGAUGGACGUUUGGGGGUCUACACACCUUUGUCCAUGUAGUGUGCGACCCCACACAACACGUAUUAAUAUCUAACACCAGGAAAUCUACUGUAGUCCAGCCAGGAAUAAAAACACCACAACCGAACAACGCAAACUAGAUUUGUUUCCAAUGUUAUAUUAUUGCAUGUGACAAUUAAUAAUUAUAAUAAUAAAAAAAAAAGUCCUA